rnacentral:rRNA from 2 species
CGGGACACGUGGUAUCCUGUCUGAAUAUGGGGGGACCAUCCUCCAAGGCUAAAUACUCCUGACUGACCGAUAGUGAACCAGUACCGUGAGGGAAAGGCGAAAAGAACCCCGGCGAGGGGAGUGAAAAAGAACCUGAAACCGUGUACGUACAAGCAGUGGGAGCACGCUUAGGCGUGUGACUGCGUACCUUUUGUAUAAUGGGUCAGCGACUUAUAUUCUGUAGCAAGGUUAACCGAAUAGGGGAGCCGAAGGGAAACCGAGUCUUAACUGGGCGUUAAGUUGCAGGGUAUAGACCCGAAACCCGGUGAUCUAGCCAUGGGCAGGUUGAAGGUUGGGUAACACUAACUGGAGGACCGAACCGACUAAUGUUGAAAAAUUAGCGGAUGACUUGUGGCUGGGGGUGAAAGGCCAAUCAAACCGGGAGAUAGCUGGUUCUCCCCGAAAGCUAUUUAGGUAGCGCCUCGUGAAUUCAUCUCCGGGGGUAGAGCACUGUUUCGGCAAGGGGGUCAUCCCGACUUACCAACCCGAUGCAAACUGCGAAUACCGGAGAAUGUUAUCACGGGAGACACACGGCGGGUGCUAACGUCCGUCGUGAAGAGGGAAACAACCCAGACCGCCAGCUAAGGUCCCAAAGUCAUGGUUAAGUGGGAAACGAUGUGGGAAGGCCCAGACAGCCAGGAUGUUGGCUUAGAAGCAGCCAUCAUUUAAAGAAAGCGUAAUAGCUCACUGGUCGAGUCGGCCUGCGCGGAAGAUGUAACGGGGCUAAACCAUGCACCGAAGCUGCGGCAGCGACACUAUGUGUUGUUGGGUAGGGGAGCGUUCUGUAAGCCUGUGAAGGUGUACUGUGAGGUAUGCUGGAGGUAUCAGAAGUGCGAAUGCUGACAUAAGUAACGAUAAAGCGGGUGAAAAGCCCGCUCGCCGGAAGACCAAGGGUUCCUGUCCAACGUUAAUCGGGGCAGGGUGAGUCGACCCCUAAGGCGAGGCCGAAAGGCGUAGUCGAUGGGAAACAGGUUAAUAUUCCUGUACUUGGUGUUACUGCGAAGGGGGGACGGAGAAGGCUAUGUUGGCCGGGCGACGGUUGUCCCGGUUUAAGCGUGUAGGCUGGUUUUCCAGGCAAAUCCGGAAAAUCAAGGCUGAGGCGUGAUGACGAGGCACUACGGUGCUGAAGCAACAAAUGCCCUGCUUCCAGGAAAAGCCUCUAAGCAUCAGGUAACAUCAAAUCGUACCCCAAACCGACACAGGUGGUCAGGUAGAGAAUACCAAGGCGCUUGAGAGAACUCGGGUGAAGGAACUAGGCAAAAUGGUGCCGUAACUUCGGGAGAAGGCACGCUGAUAUGUAGGUGAAGUCCCUCGCGGAUGGAGCUGAAAUCAGUCGAAGAUACCAGCUGGCUGCAACUGUUUAUUAAAAACACAGCACUGUGCAAACACGAAAGUGGACGUAUACGGUGUGACGCCUGCCCGGUGCCGGAAGGUUAAUUGAUGGGGUCAGCGCAAGCGAAGCUCUUGAUCGAAGCCCCGGUAAACGGCGGCCGUAACUAUAACGGUCCUAAGGUAGCGAAAUUCCUUGUCGGGUAAGUUCCGACCUGCACGAAUGGCGUAAUGAUGGCCAGGCUGUCUCCACCCGAGACUCAGUGAAAUUGAACUCGCUGUGAAGAUGCAGUGUACCCGCGGCAAGACGGAAAGACCCCGUGAACCUUUACUAUAGCUUGACACUGAACAUUGAGCCUUGAUGUGUAGGAUAGGUGGGAGGCUUUGAAGUGUGG